rnacentral:rRNA from 1 species
UCGAACGGCAGCACAGGAGAGCUUGCUCUCUGGGUGGCGAGUGGCGGACGGGUGAGGAAUACAUCGGAAUCUACUCUGUCGUGGGGGAUAACGUAGGGAAACUUACGCUAAUACCGCAUACGACCUACGGGUGAAAGCAGGGGAUCUUCGGACCUUGCGCGAUUGAAUGAGCCGAUGUCGGAUUAGCUAGUUGGCGGGGUAAAGGCCCACCAAGGCGACGAUCCGUAGCUGGUCUGAGAGGAUGAUCAGCCACACUGGAACUGAGACACGGUCCAGACUCCUACGGGAGGCAGCAGUGGGGAAUAUUGGACAAUGGGCGCAAGCCUGAUCCAGCCAUACCGCGUGGGUGAAGAAGGCCUUCGGGUUGUAAAGCCCUUUUGUUGGGAAAGAAAUCCAGCUGGCUAAUACCCGGUUGGGAUGACGGUACCCAAAGAAUAAGCACCGGCUAACUUCGUGCCAGCAGCCGCGGUAAUACGAAGGGUGCAAGCGUUACUCGGAAUUACUGGGCGUAAAGCGUGCGUAGGUGGUCGUUUAAGUCCGUUGUGAAAGCCCUGGGCUCAACCUGGGAACUGCAGUGGAUACUGGGCGACUAGAGUGUGGUAGAGGGUAGCGGAAUUCCUGGUGUAGCAGUGAAAUG